AAGUCGUAACAAGGUAACCGUAGGUGAACCUGCGGUUGGAUCAUUAACAAAUUCAACCAAAAAAGUUUGUGGGUUAAAGCUAACUACUUUUCCCACACUCUUUUUUACACACAAUGUGAACUGUUUAUUGUCUCUGGUGGUGUUAAAAGACUUCUUCAUUGAAGUUGGGGAAAAUUUAUUUUCCUUACCCACCGAUUUAUAUCUUAAACUUAUCUUCUUUAAUGGUCUUUAAAAAUUUAAAAAAAAGUUAAUUAAAAAACAACUUUUGGCAACGGAUCUCUAGGCUCUU
rnacentral:misc_RNA from 1 species